GCUGGCGGCAUGCCUAACACAUGCAAGUCGAACGGUAACAGGCCCGCAAGGGUGCUGACGAGUGGCGGACGGGUGAGGAACACAUCGGAAUUUGCCCAUGUCGUGGGGGAUAACGUAGGGAAACUUACGCUAAUACCGCAUACGACCGGAAGGUGAAAGCGGGGGAUCCGUAAGGACCUCGCGCGAUUGGAUGAGCCGAUGUCGGAUUAGCUAGUUGGUAGGGUAAAGGCCUACCAAGGCGACGAUCCGUAGCUGGUCUGAGAGGAUGAUCAGCCACACUGGGACUGAGACACGGCCCAGACUCCUACGGGAGGCAGCAGUGGGGAAUAUUGGACAAUGGGGGCAACCCUGAUCCAGCAAUGCCGCGUGUGUGAAGAAGGCCUUCGGGUUGUAAAGCACUUUUAUCGGGAACGAAACAUUGUCGGUGAAUAUCCGGCAAGACUGACGGUACCCGAGGAAUAAGCACCGGCUAACUUCGUGCCAGCAGCCGCGGUAAUACGAAGGGUGCAAGCGUUACUCGGAAUUACUGGGCGUAAAGCGUGCGUA
rnacentral:rRNA from 1 species